GAUGAACGCUGGCGGCGUGCCUAAUACAUGCAAGUCGAGCGCAGCGGGGACGGGUGAGUAACACUUGGAAAACCUCGUAUAAGACUGGGAUAACUUCGGGAAACCGGAGCUAAACCGGAUACUAAUAGAUGGCUCAGCGCUGCAUUAGCGAGUUGGUAAGGUAACGGCUUACCAAGGCAACGAUGCAUAGCCUACCUGAGAGGGUGAUCGGCCACACUGGAACUGAGACACGGUCCAGCCUCCUACGGGAGGCAGCAGUAGGGAAUCUUCCGCAAUGGGCGAAAGCCUGACGGAGCAACGCCGCGUGAGUGAUGAAGGUUUUCGGAUCGUAAAACUCUGUUAUUAGGGAAGCGGUACCUAAUCAGAAAGCCACGGCUAACUACGUGCCAGCAGCCGCGGUAAUAC
rnacentral:rRNA from 1 species